rnacentral:Y_RNA from 1 species
GGCUAGUCCUAGGGUACUCAGUUAUCUCAACUGAUCACCGUCAGUUAUCUCAAUUGAUCACCAUCAGUUACAUAUUGAAUUCCUUGUUAUAUUCUUCCCCCUUUUCACUACUAAACUUGACUACUCUUAA